rnacentral:rRNA from 1 species
UACAGAGGGUGCAAGCGUUGUUCGGAAUUACUGGGCGUAAAGCGCGUGUAGGCGGCAUGGCAAGUCGGGUGUGAAAGCCCUCAGCUUAACUGAGGAAGUGCGCCCGAAACUGCCGUGCUUGAGUGCCGGAGAGGGUGGCGGAAUUCCCCAAGUAGAGGUGAAAUUCGUAGAUAUGGGGAGGAACACCGGUGGCGAAGGCGGCCACCUGGACGGUAACUGACGCUGAGACGCGAAAGCGUGGGGAGCAAACAGG